CGUCUUCACUCUGGCUUGCUGAUAGUUUUAUCUUGCAGCAUUAUUCUGAACGUUGCUCUCAUUUGUAUAAGAUGUAAACUGACCUGUACACACUGUGCAGAUGAAAAGAACAGUGAUAUAUCAAAAGUGGAAUGGUCACGCAAGCAAUGCCAUGACGAGGACACACUGAAUUACGCUGCCCUGAACCUUAAGAAGCCAAAACCCAGGAGACAGAAGAAAGACGGGAAUAAUGACACUCUGUAUUCUGACCUCCGCUACAGAGAUUAUGAAUAAAGAUGCUUCUCAUUCAUGUCAGUCACACAGAGUGUUCAGGGUGUAGCUUUAAUAAUGUUCAGAAGGAGGGCAGGGGAGCCAGUGCUUCUGAGACUGAA